CCAGCCAUCAUCAAGCCCAGAGUAGACCCCAAAAGAGGAAAGUAAGACAAGAAUGAGGGUCAUCAUGGGGAGAAGGAAGUCUUGGAGAGAACCCUCACUUGACUUUGGCAGCUUCUGGAAGAUGUUGCAGCUCUGAAGGCAUGUUUAGAAUAUCAGGAAAAUGCUUCUCCAGGAUCAUGAUCAGGAGGUCAAUGUCACUCUUCUCUGGGAUGAACUUGAGGAGCUGCAAAGAGCAGGCGCAAGUCACACAAGCAACUGGUUUCCCAAAGGAUCCAAAAAACUGAGAGGGAAGAGAUUUGGGGAAGAUGUCACUUUUCCUCAUCUGACUUUGCCUUGGAGUCAGAUGGGAGAAUGACUCCUGGAGAACACUUAGCCUUUUCCAGCUUUCCCCAAGAAAGGCUGGCCCAGGGAGGCUUCUAUAAACCUUCUCCCUAACUCUU
ensembl:lncRNA DAAM2-AS1 DAAM2 antisense RNA 1